GAUCGAUCAGGAAUGCGUGUAGUCAUUGAGCUUAAAAGAGGGUCUGAUCCAGCCAUCGUGUUGAAUAAUCUUUACCGUCUUACUCCUCUGCAAUCCAGUUUUAGUUGCAACAUGGUCGGUAUUCUCAAUGGUCAACCAAAGCUGAUGGGGUUAAAAGAAUUGCUCCAGGCAUUUUUGGAUUUUAGAUGCUCUGUUGUUGAAAGGCGGGCUAAGUAUAAACUUUCACAAGCACAAGAAAGAAACCAUAUUGUUGAGGGUAUUAUAAUUGGGCUUGAUAACUUGGAUG
rnacentral:misc_RNA from 1 species